AGAUGACCGACCUCUUAAGAAGUGUUGUCACCGUCAUUGAUAUUUUCUACAAAUACACCAACAAAGAUGGGGAAUGUGGCACACUGAGCAAGGAUGAGCUAAAGGAACUUCUAGAAAAAGAGUUUCGGCCAAUUCUGAAGAUUUUCCAGUUUUAUUUCAAGUAUUCAUUGACAAACCUAUGCAGAAAGCUAAGAGACAUGGUUCAGGAGCCAAAUUUUCUCUAAUAGCAUUGUAACAUAUUCCAUGUACUAAGCAAAGAAUUUUGUGGUAUUGAAGAUUCAGAAGAAUUGCUUCUUUUGUGCCACCUCUGGAACUCUGUACUACUACUUUUGAAUUUAUUCUCAUGACCUCCUGGAUAUAGGAUCCAGAAAAUUGUACUGCAAAUAAUUGACAAUAAACUUUUCAUCAAGUUACA